UACGUAGGGGGCUAGCGUUGUCCGGAAUCAUUGGGCGUAAAGCGCGUGUAGGCGGUCCGGUAAGUCCGCUGUGAAAGUCGGGGGCUCAACCCUCGGAUGCCGGUGGAUACUGUCGGGCUUGAGUACGGAAGAGGCGAGUGGAAUUCCUGGUGUAGCGGUGAAAUGCGCAAAUAUCAGGAGGAACACCAAUUGCGAAGGCAGCUCGCUGGGACGUUACUGACGCUGAGACGCGAAAGCGUGGGGAGCAAACAGG
rnacentral:rRNA from 1 species